UACAGAGGGUGCGAGCGUUAAUCGGAAUUACUGGGCGUAAAGCGUGCGUAGACGGCUAUCUAAGUCGGGUGUGAAAGCCCCGGGCUCAACCUGGGAAUUGCAUUCGAGACUGAAUAGCUAGGGUGCGGUAGAGGGAAGCGGAAUUUCCGGUGUAGCGGUGAAAUGCGUAGAUAAUCGGAAGGAACAUCAGUGGCGAAAGCGGCUU
rnacentral:rRNA from 1 species